CAUUGUGCAAUUCAAUGUGAUUUGAUGUGACUAAAUUAUUUUCUUUUUUUGUUGGAAGUAUCCUUUUUUUUAGUAUUUAAUAGGAAAAAAUUUUUAUUAUUAUAGUUUAUUAGUAAAGUGAUUGAAAUUUGAUAUAUUGGUUAACAUUUGUAAAGAAGAAUUAAUUUUUCGUACCUUGUGUAUCAGGGUUGAUAAAUUAUGUGGUUUGUAUAAAUUUUUCCCGAAUCAAAAAGAGUUAACUUUGAAUGAUUAUGAUUGUGAAAUAAAUCUAUUUAAUUCAUAGUUGGUAGCGAAACGUUAUUCGUUUUUUGAGAUAUCUGGUUUCCUAAGAAAUGAAUUUAAUUCUUUGGUUAUUAAAAUUAUAUUCAAUUUUUGAUUUUAAUUUUUUAACUUGUAAUGGUAGGUGGGAUGAGCUUCUUAUCAGAUGGCUAAAAAUUUUUUUGUUUGGUUGAUUAGUAUAAUUAGAAUUGUUAAUCUUUGGAAUAAUUUUAUAGUUGAUCUUCUUGAUUUUAUUAUUUCUAUAAUUUUUAGCUUUUAUAUUGGGAUUUUUUUUUUAAUUUUUUAGAUUAAUUAAUAAUGAUUGAAUUAGUAAAUUUUAAUUUAGAUUGUUUUUUGUUUGUGAGGUUUAAUAAAGGAAUUCGGCAAUGAGGUUUUCCGCCUGUUUAUUAAAAACAUGUCCUUUUGAAUAUGAUUUAAGGUCUAAUCUGCUCAAUGAGGAGUUAAAUUGCCGCGGUAUUAUGACCGUGCGAAGGUAGCAUAAUAAUUAGCUUUUUUAUUGAAAGCUGGAAUGAAUGAUUGGACGAGAAAACAUCUGUCUCUGUUAAAUUUUUUGUUGAAUUUAACUUUUAAGUAAAAAGGCUUAAAUUUUUUAGAAAGACGAGAAGACCCUAUAGAGUUUGAUAUUUCGGUUAUUAGAAGGUUUUUGGUAUUGAUUUCUUUUAUUUUUCGAAUUAUUUGGUUGGGGUGACUGGAAGAAAUGAUUAACUCUUCUAUGAUUUUAUUACUGAUUUGUAAAUAGUUAUUCUGGAUUUGCCAAGUUUAAUAUAAAUUACCUUAGGGAUAACAGCGUAAUUUCCUUUGAGAGUUCUUAUUUAAAGGGGAGUUUGCGACCUCGAUGUUGGAUUAAAAUUAAUAUUGGGUGCAGUAGCUCAAUUAUUAGGUCUGUUCGACCUUUAAAAUUUUACAUGAUCUGAGUUUAAACCGGCGUGAGCCAGGUUGGUUUCUAUCUUUUGAGUUUUAUGACGUUUUAGUACGAAAGGACCGAACGUUGAAUAUAUUAUUUGUUUUUUGAAUUUCAUUAUUACUUUGGCAGAUUAGUGCAA
rnacentral:rRNA from 1 species